GUGGUGACUGAAGUGACCUGAAAGCCAAGAGAUGUUACCUGGGGCUAUGACAGAUUUAUUUUGCCUCUGCACCAAAGAUAGGACCCAAAAAACAUAAAACCCAUCACCAAAGACGUGACAACAAACAUAAAGGUAAAAAUAAAGUUUUCUG